UACGUAGGGUGCAAGCGUUAAUCGGAAUUACUGGGCGUAAAGCGUGCGCAGGCGGUUGUGCAAGACCGAUGUGAAAUCCCCGGGCUUAACCUGGGAAUGGCCAUGGAAACUGGCGAGCUGGAGUGUGGCAGAGGGGGGUGGAAUUCCGCGUGUAGCAGUGAAAUGCGCAGAUAUCGGGAGGAACACCAGUAGCGAAGGCGGCACUCUGGGCCGGUACUGACGCUGAGGAGCGAAAGCGUGGGGAGCAAACAGG
rnacentral:rRNA from 1 species